ensembl:piRNA 21ur-2188 ncRNA
UAAUAAGUGUGAGGGUAUUUC